rnacentral:rRNA from 1 species
UACGGGGGGGGCAAGCGUUGUUCGGAAUUACUGGGCGUAAAGGGCUCGUAGGUGGCCAACUAAGUCAGACGUGAAAUCCCUCGGCUUAACCGGGGAACUGCGUCUGAUACUGGAUGGCUUGAGUUCGGGAGAGGGAUGCGGAAUUCCAGGUGUAGCGGUGAAAUGCGUAGAUAUCUGGAGGAACACCGGUGGCGAAGGCGGCAUCCUGGACCGGCAUUGACGCUGAGGAGCGAAAGCUAGGGGAGCAAACGGG